rnacentral:sRNA from 1 species
UAUGUUUGUAAUAAAUGUGAGUGUG